AGCCGGGCACACCCGGAGGGGGUAGCAUUGGAUAUAGAACCAUCUCAAAUCACUUUUGUGCAUGCCAUGUGGACACACACAACUUUUGGGGCCAUUCCCUAGGUCCGAUGCUCGAUUUCUGACGAAACCCUAGUUCUGUUGACCGCGCCGUCUACCCCUUUGACUGCGUCCCAUCGGGGUUCCCCCGGUGGGCGUAUGCCUGCGUUUGAGCUUGGUUAGGUCAUAGGUACAUGUGGAAACAAGUACCAUCCCCUAUGAUCCCAAGGUUCUCUCCGGUUCACCUCCGAGGGAGUUCCCCCCUAUACACGCAGAAUCUGCCUAAGUGUAGGAACCCCAUGUCCGAGAAGCCGGGCACACCCGGAGGGGGUAGCAUUGGAUAUAGAACCAUCUCAAAUCACUUUUGUGCAUGCCAUGUGGACACACACAACUUUUGGGGCCAUUCCCUAGGUGCGAUGCUCGAUUUCUGACGAAACCCUAGUUCUGUUGACCGCGCCGUCUACCCCUUUGACUGCGUCCCAUCGGGGUUCCCCCGGUGGGCGUAUGCCUGCGUUUGAGCUUGGUUAGGUCAUAGGUACAUGUGGAAACAAGUACCAUCCCCUAUGAUCCCAAGGUUCUCUCCGGUUCACCUCCGAGGGAGUUCCCCCCUAUACACGCAGAAUCUGCCUAAGUGUAGGAACCCCAUGUCCGAGAAGCCGGGCACACCCGGAGGGGGUAGCAUUGGAUAUAGAACCAUCUCAAAUCACUUUUGUGCAUGCCAUGUGGACACACACAACUUUUGGGGCCAUUCCCUAGGUCCGAUGCUCGAUUUCUGACGAAACCCUAGUUCUGUUGACCGCGCCGUCUACCCCUUUGACUGCGUCCCAUCGGGGUUCCCCCGGUGGGCGUAUGCCUGCGUUUGAGCUUGGUUAGGUCAUAGGUACAUGUGGAAACAAGUACCAUCCCCUAUGAUCCCAAGGUUCUCUCCGGUUCACCUCCGAGGGAGUUCCCCCCUAUACACGCAGAAUCUGCCUAAGUGUAGGAACCCCAUGUCCGAGAAGCCGGGCACACCCGGAGGGGGUAGCAUUGGAUAUAGAACCAUCUCAAAUCACUUUUGUGCAUGCCAUGUGGACACACACAACUUUUGGGGCCAUUCCCUAGGUCCGAUGCUCGAUUUCUGACGAAACCCUAGUUCUGUUGACCGCGCCGUCUACCCCUUUGACUGCGUCCCAUCGGGGUUCCCCCGGUGGGCGUAUGCCUGCGUUUGAGCUUGGUUAGGUCAUAGGUACAUGUGGAAACAAGUACCAUCCCCUAUGAUCCCAAGGUUCUCUCCGAUUCACCUCCGAGGGAGUUCCCCCCUAUACAUGCAGAAUCUCUCCUGCCCUUUUUUUCCCGCCCACCCUUUUCCCGCUGCUUCUCUCCCGCCCUUUUUUCCCACCCACCCUUUCCCGCUCCUUCUCUCCCGCCCUUUUUUCCCGCC